ACAGCAGUCGCCGCGGUAAUACGGAGGGUGCAAGCGUUAAUCGGAAUUACUGGGCGUAAAGCGCACGCAGGCGGUUUGUUAAGUCAGAUGUGAAAUCCCCCGAGCUUAACUUGGGAACUGCAUUUGAAACUGGCAAGCUAGAGUCUUGUAGAGGGGGGUAGAAUUCCAGGUGUAGCGGUGAAAUGCGUAGAGAUCUGGAGGAAUACCGGUGGCGAAGGCGGCCCCCUGGACAAAGACUGACGCUCAGGUGCGAAAGCGUGGGGAGCAAACAGGAUUAGAUACCCGUGUAGUCCCUGUCUCUUAUA
rnacentral:rRNA from 1 species